GGCCGGAUGGCAGAAUGGUUAUGCAGAGGAUUGCAAAUCCUCGUAUCUCGGUUCGAUUCCGGGUCCGGCCU
rnacentral:tRNA from 2 species